UCUAGAACUCAAUAUAUGGGCUGAACACUGAAAAGUGUCUGGGUUGCAUGACAGAUUCAGACGUUUCUUUUGUUGCUAAGAUUUGAACUUGAAAAAAGAAGAUUUAAAUCUUGCAUUCUUCAUGAAAGUUUUAGGCCUAUGUCUUAUCUUUCCAUC
rfam:Populus trichocarpa scaffold_19_contig_452, whole genome shotgun sequence.